rnacentral:lncRNA from 1 species
UCGUUUUUAGUUUAAUGAACUAAAUAGAAAAAUAUUGUUAAUAUUAAAAGUCAAUUAAAUGACUAAUUGAAGUUCAAAUAUUGUGAUUGUUCAUUCCAUCACUACAGUAUUGAUGUUUUUAAAUAUUCAUCUGAGAGGUAUAUCUAUAGAUAACUUUGAGUCGGGGGGGCUGUGCUAACUUUCAAAGAAUGUAUAGAGAACUUGAGUAGGGGGGCCUGCGCGAAUAGGGGCUCUCUCAACUUGGGGAGACGUUAAGCCGACCAUCCCUUCCAAAUG